rnacentral:rRNA from 1 species
GCGGGGCGUCGGGGCGAGGCGUGAUGAUGGGGGCCUUACGGCCCGAAUCCGGUGAUCCGUGGUGCCGAGAAAAGCUUCGGCGUCAGGCGCGUUGCCGCCCGUACCCUAAACCGACACUGGUGGUCAGGUAGAGAAUACCAAAGCGAUCGAGCGAAUCCUGGUCAAGGAACUCGGCAAAUUGCUCCCGUGCCUUCGGCAUAAGGGAGACCCCCUGCGGUGAUGAGCGGCGGGGGGUGGCACAGGCCAGGGGGUAGCGACUGUUUACCAAAAACACAGGAGCGUGCGAAGGCGCAAGCCGCUGUAUACGCUCUGACGCCUGCCCGGUGCCGGAAGGUUAAGAGGAUCCGUCAGCUUUCUGCGAAGCGGUGAAUUCAAGCCCCGGUAAACGGCGGUGGUAACGAUAACCAUCCUAAGGUAGCGAAAUUCCUUGUCGGGUAAGUUCCGACCUGCACGGAUGGCGUAACGACUUCCCCACUGUCUCGACCAGGAGCUCGGCGAAAUUGCAGUACGAGUAAAGAUGCUCGUUAAGCGCAGAAGGACGAAAAGACCCCGGGACCUUUACUAUACCUUGGUAUUGGCAUUAGGCGCGGAUUGUGUAGCAUAGGCGGGAGGCUUCGAGGCGGGUGCGCCAGCAUCCGCGGAGCCGCAAGGUGAAAUACCGCUCUGUUCUCGUUUGAUGUCUAACCUCGAACAGUCAUCCUGUUCAGGGACAGUGCCUGGCGGGUAGUUCAACUGGGGCGGUUGCCUCCCAAAGAGUAACGGAGGCGCUCAAAGGUCCGCUCAGCCCGGUUGGCAAUCGGGUGUCGAGUGUAAUCGCACAAGCGGGCUUGACUGCGAGAUCGACGGAUCGAGCAGGGACGAAAGCCGGAGAUAGUGAUCCGGUGCCGGCGCACGGGCGCGGCAUCGCUCAACGGAUAAAAGGUACCCCGGGGAUAACAGGCUGAUCAUUCCCAAGAGUCCAUAUCGACGGGAUGGUUUGGCACCUCGAUGUCGGCUCGUCGCAUCCUGGGGCUGGAGCAGGUCCCAAGGGUUCGGCUGUUCGCCGAUCAAAGCGGCACGCGAGCUGGGUUCAGAACGUCGUGAGACAGUUUGGUCUCUAUCCUCUGCGCUCGUUGGAAUCUUGAGGAGGCCUGCCCAUAGUACGAGAGGACCUGGGUGGACGAACCUCUGGUAUGCCGGUCGUCACGCCAGUGGCGCGGCCGGUUGGUUACGUUCGGAAGGGAUAACCGCUGAAAGCAUCUAAGCGGGAAGCCUUCUCCAAGAUAAGGAUUCCAUGCGGCCCCGAGCCGCUGAAGACCCCAUGCAGAACACGUGGUCGAUAGGCCGGACGUGG